rnacentral:rRNA from 1 species
GACGAACGCUGGCGGCGUGCCUAAUACAUGCAAGUCGAGCGAGCGGAACUAACAGAUUUACUUCGGUAAUGACGUUAGGAAAGCGAGCGGCGGAUGGGUGAGUAACACGUGGGGAACCUGCCCCAUAGUCUGGGAUACCACUUGGAAACAGGUGCUAAUACCGGAUAAGAAAGCAGAUCGCAUGAUCAGCUUUUAAAAGGCGGCGUAAGCUGUCGCUAUGGGAUGGCCCCGCGGUGCAUUAGCUAGUUGGUAAGGUAAAGGCUUACCAAGGCGAUGAUGCAUAGCCGAGUUGAGAGACUGAUCGGCCACAUUGGGACUGAGACACGGCCCAAACUCCUACGGGAGGCAGCAGUAGGGAAUCUUCCACAAUGGACGCAAGUCUGAUGGAGCAACGCCGCGUGAGUGAAGAAGGUUUUCGGAUCGUAAAGCUCUGUUGUUGGUGAAGAAGGAUAGAGGUAGUAACUGGCCUUUAUUUGACGGUAAUCAACCAGAAAGUCACGGCUAACUACGUGCCAGCAGCCGCGGUAAUACGUAGGUGGCAAGCGUUGUCCGGAUUUAUUGGGCGUAAAGCGAGCGCAGGCGGAAGAAUAAGUCUGAUGUGAAAGCCCUCGGCUUAACCGAGGAACUGCAUCGGAAACUGUUUUUCUUGAGUGCAGAAGAGGAGAGUGGAACUCCAUGUGUAGCGGUGGAAUGCGUAGAUAUAUGGAAGAACACCAGUGGCGAAGGCGGCUCUCUGGUCUGCAACUGACGCUGAGGCUCGAAAGCAUGGGUAGCGAACAGG